rnacentral:ncRNA from 1 species
CGUCGUGAGACGGAAUCUGAAGAAAGCCGGAUUUUAGGGGUUGAAAAGUCCCCUGAUGGGCAAAACUCUGGCCUGACGAACAGAAAUCGCAUACAAGGCCGUAAAUGAGGGUGAGUUUGCAGCACAAAACAAAGCCCAGUAGCUACACGGAAUCAUUUGCGGUAAAUGCGGCAGGUAAAGAGGGAAAGAACG